rnacentral:lncRNA from 1 species
UAGAGACGACGCAAACGGCCGCCGAUUAUCCGAUCACUUCUCUCUUCCCCUGCCUUCUGUUCUUGGUUCACGGCGGUUGUCCACAGGAGAGCGCAUGUCACUACGAUCUGUGGCGUUGUUCUGCGCAGCGGCGAUGGGCGUGGUGGCGGUGGCAUUCACCACCAUGAUGCGGGAGAGGUGGGGGCGGUCGUACGGACAGCGCCGAGAUCCUGAAGUUGACGACGCGUGAGCAAGGUUAGGGGCGAGGGUGAACCUGGGGUCUAUCUGGUUAGUGUGCAUUCGUACAAAGUGUUUAUUACGACAUUCUUAUUUGAUUAACAUCUUAUUUAUUUUUCUGCCACAAGUUCGAAAUAUUUCUUUAGUUGUUCAAUUUAUUAUACAUAUCUGUUCAAAAUAUUUUUUGCGAAAUUAUUAUUUGGUAAACAUCCUAUUGCGAUAUCUCCCUAUAGGCAGAUGAAUGGCAUGUUCUGCGCGGCGGCGAUGGGCGUGGUGGCGGUGGCAUUCACCACCACGAUGGAGGCGGUCGUUUACGAACAGCCCGAGAUCCUAAGUUGACAACGCGUGAGCAGGGUUGGGGGCGAGGGUGAACCUGGGGUCUAUCUGGUUAGUGUGCAUUCGUACAAAGUGUUUAUUACGACACUGUUAUUUGAUUAACAUCUUAUUUGUUUUUCUGCCACAAGUUCGAAAUAUUUCUUUAGUUGUUCAAUUUAUUAUACAUAUCUGUUCAAAAUAUUUUUUGCGAAAUUAUUAUUUGGUAAACAUCCUAUUUGAGAUAUCUCCCUGUGAGGCAGAUGAAUGGCCGAUGCUACUGGCAGAGCACCCAAGCGGUGCAGAGCGCGGAUAAUACGUCCAGGUGAGGGGCGUGGUAGAUGAGGAUCGAGGCCAACCGAAAAAAUGCAUAAUUCUCAAUCCGCCAUGAAAUUCGAGAAUGAGGAAUUAUGGCGAGAGUAAGACAGGUGGAAACAUGCUUUUCCUUUCUGUUUUUUCUAUUUUAUUGUUCAGUUAAUUUGUAAACAACUUUUCUGUAGUUGUUAGAGAUGAGUGAAGAGAUUUUUUCAUAAUUGUGAUUUUGUUCAUUUAGAAUUGGGUUAUGUUCAUUUAUUAGAAUUGUGUUCAGUAAAUCUAAAUAAGGUUUUCGUUUCUGCUAUGAAAUCUGAUUUUUU